GUGAGUCAUCGAAUCUUUGAACGCACAUUGCGCCCCUUGGUAUUCCGAGGGGCAUGCCUAUUCGAGCGUCAUAGUGACCACUCCCGCCUCGCGGGGUCUUGGGCGCCGCCUCCGGGCGGGCCUUAAAAUCAGUGGCGGCGCCGUGCGGCUCGUAGCGUAGUAACAUCUCCUCGCUACCGGGUCCGGACGGCCGCUGGCCAGCAACCCCCAACCUGCAUGGGUUGACCUCGGAUUAGGUAGGGAUACCCGCUGAACUUAAGCAUAUCAAUAAGCGGAGGA
rnacentral:misc_RNA from 1 species